AUUUUACUCCCUCCCUCCGACAAAAGAUAUCUCAAGUUUAUCAAAAUUUGGAUGUAGCUAGACAUGAUUUAGUGUAUAGAUGUAUUCAAAUUUAGUCAAAAUUGAGACAUCCUUUGUUGGACAGAGGAAGUACUAC
rfam:Brachypodium distachyon strain Bd21 chromosome 3, whole genome shotgun sequence.